CCUACGGGCGGCAGCAGUGGGGAAUAUUGGACAAUGGGGGGAACCCUGAUCCAGCCAUGCCGCGUGUGUGAAGAAGGCCCUCGGGUUGUAAAGCACUUUCAGUGAGGAAGAACGCCUGGUGGUUAAUACCCAUCAGGAAAGACAUCACUCACAGAAGAAGCACCGGCUAACUCCGUGCCAGCAGCCGCGGUAAUACGGAGGGUGCGAGCGUUAAUCGGAAUUACUGGGCGUAAAGCGCGCGUAGGUGGCUUGAUAAGCCGGUUGUGAAAGCCCCGGGCUCAACCUGGGAACGGCAUCCGGAACUGUCAAGCUAGAGUGCAGGAGAGGAAGGUAGAAUUCCCGGUGUAGCGGUGAAAUGCGUAGAGAUCGGGAGGAAUACCAGUGGCGAAGGCGGCCUUCUGGACUGACACUGACACUGAGGUGCGAAAGCGUGGGUAGCAAACAGGAUUAGUACCCUGGUAGUC
rnacentral:rRNA from 1 species